UACGAAGGGGGCUAGCGUUGUUCGGAAUUACUGGGCGUAAAGCGUGCGCAGGCGGUCUUCCAAGUCAGUGGUGAAAGCCCGGAGCUCAACUCCGGAACUGCCAUUGAAACUGUUAGACUCGAGUACGAGAGAGGUGAGUGGAAUUCCCAGUGUAGAGGUGAAAUUCGUAGAUAUUGGGAAGAACACCGGUGGCGAAGGCGGCUCACUGGCUCGUAACUGACGCUCAGGCACGACAGCGUGGGGAUCAAACAGG
rnacentral:rRNA from 1 species